ensembl:lncRNA novel transcript, antisense to FRG2Band SYCE1
GCAUGUGCGCUGGCUUCCGAGGGGACCGGCCCUGGUUCUGGAGGCCCUCCCCACCAACGAGCAGUACGCAUGUGUAGCGCCGAAGCUUCCUGUGAAGUGUGCGUGUCUGACGGAUGACGACUCCACAAGGCGCUGUGGCCCUGGCAGCCUCAUGAGGUUGCGGCUCUGCGGGACCACACCGCCGCGGGAGUGCACGGGCCCCAGCGAGUGAAAUCUGCGGCAGCCCCCGCUGGGCCCGCUGUUCCUGCGCGCGCAGAGGAGCGUAGCCUGCCCCUAGGCCGCGUUCCCGUGAGCUCCAUGCCCACAGUGGCCGAGGCCGGCCACAAGCCCACGGUCCCUUCUGCACGGUCCCUGCCGCGCUGGGGCCACCGUGGAGGCCCGGAGGGCCCUGGGAGGAGGGAGGAGGAGCAGAGGCUUUCGGGAGAACCCAGCCCUUCACCGGCCAGGGGAGGCCGCGAUGCAUCGCGACUGGUUGUGAAGAGCCAGGGGAAGAACUUUACCGUGCAGGUGACAAUCAGUUGUCUGUGGGUGCCCACCAAACAUCUGAAGAUCCAUCAUGAGCCACACCAGGAAGAGAGGACCCUGGGAAGAGCCAGAGCUCCCUAUACAAGUGAUGGCAUGAAUGAACAUCUCAGAGACAAAGAAAAAGACUGUGAAUACUCGCCAGGUGGAUCUUCCAACAUGGGGCCAAGUCAAACUGGCACAGAUGGCAGAGGCCAACCUCAGAGCACAGAACAAACCAAAAACAACUAGUAAGUUAAAGGUGGCCAUGCUGGCAGUACUGUCUGUGGCAGACCUUUUGGAUUCAAAGUUGUGUCCAGCCACCUUUUAUGUUAGCAAUAGGAAAUGUUAUUCUUGACAUAAAUACCCAUUCUAUCACAUGCCCCGAAUGUCACUUGUUUAGUUGCAUUAACUCAACCUUUGAUAAAAAUCAAACUUUCUUGUUAAUUAGAGCCAGAGAAGGAGUUUGGAUCCCUGUGUCUCUAAAUAGACCACGGGAUGCAUCACCAUCCAUUCAUAUUGUAACUGAGAUUCUUAAAAACCUGUUAUCCCAUUCAAAAAGAUUCACAGUUGCUCUUGUAUUUGCUAUAAUUGGCCUCAUUGCUGUUACCACUACUGCUGCAGUAGCUGGUGUGGCUUUACACUCAUCUGUGCAGACUGUUGAAUUUGUUGAUAAAUGGCAAAAGAAUUCUACGAAAUUAUGGAACUCUCAGGCCCAAAUAGAUCAAAAGAUAGUCAAAUCAGUGAUCUCUGUCAGACAGUAAUUUGGAUGGGGGAUCACAUCCUAAGUUUAGAAACUAGAAUUCAAAUGCGUUGUGUUUGGAAUAUAUCCGAUUUUUGCAUUACUCCUCAUAGUUACAAUGAGACAGAACACCAAUGGGAAAGAAUUAAACGCCAUCUAGAGGGCAGAGAGGAAAAUCUCACCUUCAAUAUUGUAAAACUGAAAGAGCAGGUUUUUGAAGCCUCUCAGGCUCACUUGGCCCUGCCCCCUGGCACUGAUAUUUUAAACAAGGCAGCUGAUGAGUUGUCUGCAAUCUAUCCUCUUAAAUGGAUUAAGACCAUUGGAAACUCUACACUUGUAAACUUUGUUCUAGUAACUGUGUGGUUGUGCUGUCUCCUUUUAGUCUGCAGAUGUGGAAGCUGCCUCUGGACAGGAAGCCCCUGUAGAGAACAAGCAAUGAUAGCUGUGGCAGUUUUGCAAAAAUAAAAGGGAGACAUGUUGGUAGAAGAGCUGAGGCAGGACUAGCUUGUCUGUCAUAAUGUAAAAGAGUCUUGGAACAUGUCCUGGGUCCAGGGUCUAAACCCCCUCAUGGCCUUUGGAACACCAAGCUCUGUGCCAAAGGGUGGAAGGCUGCCCUGUGGCACCACAAUCUAAGCUCAGGGCAUAAAACCCCUUGUGGCUUUGAUGGAAUCCAGGGCUCAGACCAUAAAACCCCUCGUGGCCUUUUGAAUGUGCACCGACUUGCUGGCUCCUUGCUUCUUGCUCUCCCAGAAUCGUAAAUUGAUUGUAUCUUGAGUUGGAAGAACAUGUUCUCCAUUAUCUCACGUAGCAGAGCAUGUUCCAUGUACUUCAAAGAAAAUGCUAAACCGUCACAGCUACGCUUGAUGCACCACUACCUUUCUACCCCCACAUCCGCACGUCCUCACCACCUGCUUCUUUGUUUGAUCACCAAUAAAUAGUGUGGGCUCCCAGAGCUCAGGGCCUUCACUGCCUCCAUACUAGCGUUGGCCCCCUGGACCAACCUUAUGCACUCUUAGCCUUUUCUCAUUCCUUUGACUCUGCCAGACUUUGUAGCCACCAUGGCCUGGUGUUGGGUCUGAUCACCUGUAGGGAAAAGAAAAAGAGAUCAGAUUGUCACUGUGUCUAUGUAGAAAGGAAAGCCAUAAGAGACUCCAUUUUGAAAAAGAGCUGUACUUUAAACAGUUGCUUUGCUGAGAUGUUGUUAAUUUGUAGUUUUGUCCCAGCCACUUUGCCCCAGCCACUUUGACCCAACCACUUUGAUCCAAUCUGGAGCUCACAAAAACAUGUGUUGUAUGAAAUCAAGGUUUAAGGGAUCUAGGGUUGUGCAGGACGUGCCUUAUUAACAAAGUGUUUACUAGCAGUAUACUUGGUAAAAGUCAUUGCUAUUCUCUAGUCUCAAUAAACCAGGGGCACAAUACACUGCGGAAAGCCGCAGGGACCUCUGCCCUUGAAAGUUGGGUAUUGUCCAAAGUUUCUCUCCAUGUGAUAGUCUGAAAUAUGGCCUCAUGGGAUGAGAAAGACCUGACUGUCCCCCAGCCUGACUCCCAUAAAGGGUCUGUGCCGAGGUGGAUUAGUAAAAGAGGAAAGCCUCUUGCAGUUGAGAUAGAGGAAGGCCACUGUCUCCUGCCUGCCCCUGGGAACUGAAUGUCUCGGUAUAAAACCCGAUUGUACAUUUGUUCAAUUCUGAGAUAGGAGAAAAACUGUCCUAUGGUGAGAGGUGAGACAUGUUUGCAGCAAUGCUGCCUUGUUAUUCUUUACUCCGCUGAGAUGUUUGGGUGGAGAGAAACAUAAAUCUGGCCUACGUGCACAUCCAGGCAUAGUACCUUCCCUUGAACUUGAUUAUGACAUAGAUUCUUUUGCUCACAUGUUUUUUGCUGACCUUCUCCUUAUUAUCACCCUGCUCUCCUACUACAUGCCUUUUUGCUGAAAUAAUGAAAAUAAUAAUCAAUAAAAACUGAGGGAACUCAGAGACCGGUGCUGGUGCAGGUCCUUGGUGUGCUGAGUGCCGGUCCCCUGGGCCCACUGUUGUUUCUCUAUACUUUGUCUCUGUCUUAUUUCUUUUUAUUAUCACCCUGCUCUCCUACUACAUUCCUUUUUGCUGAAAUAAUGAAAAUAAUAAUCAAUAAAAACUGAGGGAACUCAGAGACCAGUGCUGGUGC